GAAGAGCUUAAGAAAAUCGUUGAGGGUAGAAAGCCAUAUUUGAACGAGACCAAGUCAUACUAUUAGGCGUACACUGCUAUCCAAAUUGCAAGCGGGAAGAACAUACUUUUUAUUCCUUAUAUAUCUGGGUGCCACUCGCAGCUCCUUGUUAUUUCUGUACAGGAGAGCUAUGCUUUGUGGUUCUGCUCAUUGCACAAGUCUCCUCCCAAACAUCUCAGACAAGCAGUUGAUUGCAAGUAUGAUGUUGGUUGGGAGAUCAAUUGCUAACAGUAGAAAACUUGAAUGGAUUGCUCUCAAGUGUAACAAACAUAAUGGUUCAUAUGAGUAUGGAUACUAUAUAUGUAAUGUAUUGGAAGACCCACAUUAUUCGGC